AACGGAUAUCUUGGCUCUUGCAACGAUGAAGAACGCAGCGAAAUGCGAUACCUAGUGUGAAUUGCAGAAUUCCGCGAAUCAUCGAGUCUUUGAACGCAAGUUGCGCCCGAGGCUCCCRCCGAGGGCAUGUCUGUCUGAGCGUCCCCGGGGUCCCGCCCAUCCGUCCCGCCGCCGUGGCGGGGGGGUCCAGUAGGAUGGGCGCUGGGAUGGCCUAUGCGCGGACCAUCGAGCGGUUCACCCCGCCCGACAGCGACCCGCUCGGCUGAAAUUCAAGUCGGUCCCGGUAGUCGAAGGGGGAGCUGCGUGAAGGUGAGAAGAGUCCGCCCCCCGCGGAAGCGGGCGGCGGUCGCGGUCAGCUCUCGUAGCGGCGUCUCCCUCCGACGACCCCCGGGGCCAGCAAAAAGCGGGACUCGGGUCUCAUCCGUCCCGGGUCUUUCUCACGCCUUGGACCUCAGAUCAGGCAAGAUCACCCGCUGAGUUUAAGCAUAUCACUAAGCGGAGGAAAAGAAACUAACGAGGAUUUCCUUAGUAACGGCGAGCGAACCGGAAGUAGCCCAGCUU
rnacentral:rRNA from 1 species